AAGUCGUAACAAGGUUUCCGUAGGUGAACCUGCGAGUUAAACCCCCCUGUGAACUUUUAUACUUGCUCUCUUAACUGACGGAAUUGCAAUCCCUGGUAAAUCAUUGUUGAACAGAUUUUGAUUCAGGGACCUCAGUUUGGCAGUUAGGAUUGAGCGAUCGUUGCAAGUGGCCUGGUUUCCCCAAGCAGUCAGUGUCUGAAAGUGGCAUUGAUUGUGUAAGGAUAACGCUUUUCGAUCACUAGAGGCCGACACCGGCCGGUGACCAGGUCGCCGUGGCUUCGGCCCCCUAUAUUAACCCCACUACCUGAUUCCGCCUCGUAGGAAACUGCUGGGCAACAAAACGAACAACUGUUAACAAUGGAUAUCUUGGUUCUC
rnacentral:misc_RNA from 1 species